CAAAAAAAAAAUAAGAGAGUGUUUAACCAAAAUUACCACCUCUGAGUUAUUAGAUCCCAAUAGAGAUUAAAGGGAAGAAUCAUCUAGAAUUGAUGCCAGCAGAUCAAUUAACUCAGUCCUACUACUACCUGCCGUCCAAUGCCCCCACAUGGCAAAGAAGGAGUUUAGGUCAGGCCUGAGUAAGUUCUAUCUGCAGCACUUACAAGCUGUGUGACCCAGGCCAAGUGACUUGACCUCCUUGAUCUCUGUUCUUUUUUUUAAUUCUAUGAGGUAGAAAAAAUACCUAUCUCACUGUAAAUCUGUAGUGAGGAUUAGAGACCAUGUGUGUUUAGAGGAACAAAACUGUUUUGUUGCUGUUAUUUAUAAUCCUCCAUUGUCAUAUUUAUAGAGAAAGGUCCUGAGAACUGAAGAAUUUUUUACUUGCAGAGCACAAGCAAAAUUUCCAUCCUCACACAUGAAGAUAGUAUUAAGUGGCAGAAAGAGAUAGAAACUGGAUUGAAAGAGAUAGAAGCUGUGUUGCUCAACGUAAGAAAAGAGGACAGAAAAGCCCAGGGAAGGCACGUGGAAGUCUGGGAUUGGAGAGGCUAACAUAAAGAAGGCUCAGGCGAGAGAGACCUGGUCAGUAGUGGGCAGAGGAGUGAUACUAGGAGGAGAAUAUACAUCUGGGGAAGAUUCCUAAGAGAAAGACUGAGUCCACUAUGACAUCAGUCCCUUUUUCUGUCUCCAUUCCAAGAUCUUCAGUAAAAUCUACAAUGCUACAAUGCUUUGGUGGGAGUGAGCCCUUCCAGAUGAAGAAGUUCUUCAGGUUUGGCCAGGGACAAGGCUGAGACCAUGGCAGAUGACAGCUGGCACCAGUUAAGCUGAGGUGGUAAAGACAAGGAACAUGGGCUACAUUUAGGGGCAAGGGGACACCGGAAGCACCUUGUGUGUCCAUCCUGUCUGCUGGGCUUUCUCUGAAGAACCUGGCUCAUCCACUGUCCCCAGAGCCCCACCUGCCUGUAGGAAGAAGCCCUGCCCUCAGGCCCUAGUAGGGAGCUCGCUUUCCUGGGUUCUUCUCUGAAUUAUUUCUUCGCAAGCGUGUGCAUGCCCAAGCUGCCUGUGAGCCCAAAGAAUCGUCCCUUGUGACUCCCCUCCUUCAACAGGCUCCAAUUAGACACCACUUAACAGCACCUCCAGUUUGACUGUCUGUCCAAGAUUCCACAAUGCAUGGGAAUUCUCCCAGAGAUUAUUCCUGUUUUUCUCAUCCUGAAAAAAAAGGAGGGGGGAAUAAUACAUGAUUGAAAACUAGCCGCCAAAUGUUAAAAAAAUAAAUAAAUAAAUUUGCA